rnacentral:rRNA from 1 species
UCUGGAGUUUGGCAGAGGGGGGUGGAAUUCCACGUGUAGCAGUGAAAUGCGUAAAGAUGUGGAGGAACACCGAUGGCGAAGGCAGCCCCCUGGGCCAAUACUGACGCUCAUGCACGAAAGCGUGGGGAGCAAACAGGAUUAGAUACCCUGGUAGUCCACGCCCUAAACGAUGUCAACUAGGUGUUGGGAGGGUUAAACCUUUUAGUGCCGUAGCUAAC